AUAGUACUCCCUCCGUCCUAAAAUAAGUGACUCAAAAAUGACUCUACUUUGUAUUAAAAUUAGUACAAAACUGAGUCAUUUGUGAGUCAUUUAUUUUGGGACGGAGGGAGUAUUAA
rnacentral:pre_miRNA from 1 species